rnacentral:rRNA from 1 species
AUGAACGCUGGCGGCGUGCCUAAUACAUGCAAGUCGCGCGAACAGACGAGGAGCUUGCUCCUCUGACGUUAGCGGCGGACGGGUGAGUAACACGUGGAUAACCUACCUAUAAGACUGGGAUAACUUCGGGAAACCGGAGCUAAUACCGGAUAAUAUAUUGAACCGCAUGGUUCAAUAGUGAAAGACGGUUUUGCUGUCACUUAUAGAUGGAUCCGCGCCGCAUUAGCUAGUUGGUAAGGUGACGGCUUACCAAGGCAACGAUGCGUAGCCGACCUGAGAGGGUGAUCGGCCACACUGGAACUGAGACACGGUCCAGACUCCUACGGGAGGCAGCAGUAGGGAAUCUUCCGCAAUGGGCGAAAGCCUGACGGAGCAACGCCGCGUGAGUGAUGAAGGUCUUCGGAUCGUAAAACUCUGUUAUUAGGGAAGAACAAAUGUGUAAGUAACUAUGCACGUCUUGACGGUACCUAAUCAGAAAGCCACGGCUAACUACGUG